AUUGAACGCUGGCGGCGGGCCUAACACAUGCAAGUCGAACGAGUGGCGGACGGGUGAGUAAUGUCUGGGAAACUGCCCGAUGGAGGGGGAUAACUACUGGAAACGGUAGCUAAUACCGCAUAAUAUCGGAUGUGCACAGAUGGGAGUAGCUAGUAGGUGGGGUAAUGUCUCACCGAGGCGACGCUCCCUAGCUGGUCUGAGAGGAUGACCAGCGACACUGGAACUAAGAAACGGGCCAGACUCCUACGGGAGGCAGCAGUGGGGAAUGUUGCACAAUGGGCGCAAGCCUGAUGCAGGCAUGCCGCGUGUAGGAAGAAGGCCUUCGGGUUGUAAAGUACUUUCAGCGAGGAGGCGUUACCCGCAGAAGAAGCACCGGCUAACUCCGUGCCAGCAGCCGCGGUAAUAC
rnacentral:rRNA from 1 species